AUUGAACGCUGGCGGCAGGCCUAACACAUGCAAGUCGAGCGAGCGGCGGACGGGUGAGGAAUGUAUGGGGACUGCCCGAAAGCGGGGGAUAACUACUGGAAACGAUAGCUAAUACCGCAUACUAUCGGAUAACCCAUAUGGGAUUAGCUAGUUGGUGAGGGAAUGGCUCACCAGGGCGACGAUCCCUAGCUGGGCUGAUAGGAUGAUCAGCCACACUGGGACUGAGACACGGCCAAGACUCCUACGGAGGCAGCAGUGGGGAAUCUUGCACAAUGGGCGCAAGCCUGAUGGAGCCAUGCCGCGUGUAUGAAGAAGGCCCUAGGGUUGUAAAGUACUUUCAGUCGGGAGGCGUUACCGACAGAGGAAGCACCGGCUAACUCCGUGCCAGCAGCCGCGGUAAUUC
rnacentral:rRNA from 1 species